UCGGGAAUUUUGGGCAAUGGGGGAAACCCUGACCCAGCAACGCCGCGUGAAGGAUGAAGUAUUUCGGUAUGUAAACUUCGAAAGAAUAGGAAGAAUAAAUGACGGUACUAUUUAUAAGGUCCGGCUAACUACGUGCCAGCAGCCGCGGUAAUACGUAGGGACCAAGCGUUGUUCGGAUUUACUGGGCGUAAAGGGCGCGUAGGCGGCAUGACAAGUCACUUGUGAAAUCUCUGGGCUUAACCCAGAACGGCCAAGUGAUACUGUCGCGCUAGAGUGCAGAAGGGGCAAUCGGAAUUCUUGGUGUAGCGGUGAAAUGCGUAGAUAUCAAGAGGAACACCUGAGGUGAAGACGGGUUGCUGGGCUGACACUGACGCUGAGGCGCGAAAGCCAGGGGAGCAAACGGGAUUAGAUACCCCAGUAGUCCCUGAGCGGGCUGGCAAGGCG
rnacentral:rRNA from 1 species